rnacentral:lncRNA from 1 species
GAGAACCAGCACCACACUUGCACCUGGUAUUUUUUUGCAAUUAGGGCACUGCACCCACAAGCACAGGGGGCUAGUACCAUUAUAAACUGCUAAAAAAUCACUGAUGCAUCUUCACACACAAAAAAUCCAGCUACUUGUGAGCCUAGCCUAAUUAAAUGGCCAUCUCUUUUACUUCCAUGAUAGUGGCUGAAAUGUCAGAUAUAUAAGAAAGUAAAUCAUUUACUUGUGAAUAUUCUAAAUGAAGAGCAGAACCUAGAAUAUUUUGCCUUUGCUAAAAUAAAUAAAUUGAGAACGAAGAUGAUAGUUUCAAGUGACAACUCACCAUUUCCCUUUGGUAGCACGCCAAGGAAGCACUCUCUUGACUGUGACCCCCCGAUCACAUUCAGUUCCGCUCCCUCCAGGCACAAGAAUUUUCUUUCUAUUCCAUUUCGCACCAUAUCUCAGCCAUCAUUCACCAUGCAUCUGGACAACUUCGGACCCAGCAAGGUUUUUUCUACAAAGAUCAAAGUGCUAAGUAUAAGUUGUUAGGAGAAAAAGUGAAUUUUAUGGCACAUGUACUCUAUUCCCACCACAUGUAAAUUUUAGGAGGAAAAGCCAGCUACAGCCAUCAACCACAAAAUACUAACCAAUCUCCACAAAUAUGAAAAUAUUGCAAUGAAUACAUGUUGCACGCCACUGCAGCCUGCAUCACUUCAUUAAAAACAUCACCACUUUCAUAGUAGCAAGAUACAAGCACUUACGCUUAUUCUAAAUAUAGGCAACAAGCAUCCAACCAGCAGAAUGGU